GCCACCGUAGCUCAGUCGGUAGAGCAGCUGAUUUGUAAUCAGCUGGUCGGGGGUUCAAAUCCUCUCGGUGGCU
rnacentral:tRNA from 1 species